rnacentral:lncRNA from 1 species
CAAAUACUGUAAUUAAUAAAUAGUAAAAAUGUCAUUUUAAUACACGAGUCAACGUCUUGACCAUUCAAACUGAAAUGUAUUCAUUACAUUUUUGAUAAAAUCUCCCUUUUUAUACUGUUGACCCCAGCCUUCAAGGAACUGUUCAGCCCAACAUAAAAAUUUACUCCAUUCACAUACACCAUUUGCAUUCUCCCUUCUAUAGUUUUUACAGUAAAUUGGUCCACAUAAUGUCCUUGAGAUCACAGCUGGUGGAAUUAAGCAAAUUAAGAAUUUAACUUUAUUAUUUGUAACAUUGAUUGCUUAAAUUUUAAAACUGCAGCAGACACAAAGGGGACAGUGUCCAGGCCUUAAUAAGCAGUCAUGCAACAUGUGAUGAAUAAUCCCAGUUAUUACACUGUUUAUACAAUAAAGCGAAUACAGCAGUUGUGAGGAAGAGAUAUUGCCUGAGUGCUGGCUGAGACUGCCAUACAUGGGCAAAUUUCAGUGACUCUGUGUUUAAGUGUGUGUGUGUGUGUGUGUGCUGCCGGCUGGAAUUUCGCCCUCCGACGUCACUGCCUGUUACUCUCCCAGAUUUGGGAAAAAGAAGUUUCACUUUAAGUGGGGAUUUGAAACUCUGUGAUUCUUAGAAGGCGAGGUAAGAGAACUAUUAAUGCUUUCGAGGGGUGGCUCCACGCGCGGAAACGCCGAUCGCAGGCCUGGGAUAACGCAGCGUUGUUUCUGCUCUGGAGCUCUACAGCUUCUAUAUUUGACAUGUAGCAGGAAGAAGCACUAUGAGCCAUUUUAACAGCAUAAGGGCCUGGCUGUGGGUCCUCCUCACUGAGGGCUUCUCUAGUCCAUAGACACACGGGAUGCUGUAAGUAUCCUCUUCUCUUCUAUUCUAUAUAAGUUGUGGCUGUGUUUGGACAUGUUAACCUUGCUGCAAUCCUGUGGUACAGUACUGUACCCUUUUAUAAUCGCAGUUGUGCUGUUCACAGCUGAAGUAUAGCUGCAAAUAAUAUAUAGGCAGUUAUAGACAGGCUGCUGUGUAUGGCCUUCAUUUUCACGGGUGAAUUGUUGGAGUAUUAUCCUGGAGGUUUUGAAUUACUUGUGUAUUUGUUCAUUCAUACAGUUAUUUAAAGUUGUACAGCUGAUAUAGAGUGGUACAGUUAAUAAAAAGUGGCUUGUACUUUGCACAACACGUGUGUCUGGGCUUUAUUUUAACAGUUUAAUAAUAGUUUAAAGAACAACCUUCAGUAGGUUUAGAAACAAUUCCUCAGUCUGCAUACAUAUACAUGUCCUUCCUAUACUGUCGACAGAGGCUGGGUAUUUCAUUGUGAUGUGUACUCUUUAUUUUGCUCAGAGAUGGUUUUGCUUGUUAUAGGUAUGCGACUCUUUUCUUUGUUUGGUAGUAUUUGCUGAGGAGAUAUAUUUGUGGAAUGUGUUACUCGUGGUGUGAAGAACUACUGACAAGUAUGUUGAGCUAUAUUGCCUUUAAAGGACACCUUUAAAAAGCACACAUAUGUGGUUGCAGGACAGUUUAUUUGCAUUAAGCAGGAAUGAAUUUGUUCAGGCAGGGCAGUGUGUUUCUUUAACCACAUUCUAUAGGUCACUAUUCUAUUGGGGUCUCAAACUCUGACUUCGACUGAUAGCCAGCCAGGUGCCGUUGUCCAACAGGGUCCAGUGGAGCAGAACAAAUAAAGGUGUUUUUACAAUCAUGAAUUUGAACUAAAUACAGUUAUUAUGCAUGGACAGAUGUUUUUUUGGGAGUUGGGUGUCUUAUCUCCCUCAUGCCUAAAGUACUGCCCUGUGUGUUUAGCGGAGUAAUGACGCAUGAGAUUGUGAUUCCUUCCUUGAGAGCUGUAUUUUUC